AACGAACGUUGGCGGCGUGGAUGAGGCAUGCAAGUCGAACGCGAAAGCCGCAAGGUGAGUAGAGUGGCGGACGGGCGAGUAACACGUAAUCAAGCUACCUGCGAGACGGGGAUAACCUCGGGAAACCGAGGCUAAGACCCGAUGGUUUGCGAGGGCCGCAUGGCCCGUGCAAAUAAAGUGGGCGGGAUCCGUCCGGGACCGCCUGCUCGCAGAGGUGAUUGCCGGCCCAUCAGCAGUUGGUAGGGUAACGGCCUACCAAGCAACGACGGUAGCCGCCUUAGAGGGUGGUCGGCCGCACGUGGGACUGAGACACU
rnacentral:rRNA from 1 species